rnacentral:rRNA from 1 species
GAUGAACGCUAGCUACAGGCUUAACACAUGCAAGUCGCGGGGCAGCAUGACAUCAGCUUGCUGAUGUUGAUGGCGACCGGCGCACGGGUGAGUAACGCGUAUCCAACCUGCCCUUUACUAUGGGACAGCCCGUCGAAAGGCGGAUUAAUACCGUAUGUUGUCAUGUUGAUGCAUAUUUUCAUGACCAAAGGCUUCGGCCGGUAAAGGAUGGGGAUGCGUCUGAUUAGCUUGCCGGCGGGGUAACGGCCCACCGGGGCGACGAUCAGUAGCCGGCCUGAGAGGGUGAACGGCCACAUUGGGACUGAGACACGGCCCAA